rnacentral:rRNA from 1 species
UACAGAGACUGCAAGCGUUAUUCGGAUUCACUGGGCGUAAAGGGUGCGCAGCGGCCAAGUGUGUUAGGCGUGAAAGCCUGGGGCUUAACCCCAGAAUUGCACCUAAAACUACAUGGCUAGAGCAUUGGAGAGGGUAGCGGAAUUCUCGGUGUAGCGGUGAAAUGCGUAGAUAUCGAGAGGAACACCUGCGGCGAAGGCGGGGUUGCUGGGCUGAUACUGACGCUGAGGCGCGAAAAGCUAGGGGGAGCGAAACGGG